rnacentral:lncRNA from 10 species
CUGACCUCCAUGCCUGGAACAGACUAGCGGGCAACAAGAGGAAUGAAUAUUCCUGAAGGAGGCAGAUUAUUAGACCCAGAGUAUACUUUCUGAGGUACCCUACGCGAAGGAAGGAUCAUUGCACCAUUACGGAGACGAGGAUACAAACUGUCAGGCCUCUGAGCCCAAGCUAAGCCAUCACAUCUCCUGUGACCUGCACAUAUACAUCCAGAUGACCUGAAGCAAAUGAAGAACCACAAAAAAUAACAUUCCACCAUUGUGAUCUGUUCCUACCCACCCUAACUGAUCAAUUGACCUUAUGACAAUACCCCCUCCCCGCCCUUGCAAUAAUAUACUUUGUCAUACUCCCCCGCCCUUAAGAAGGUACUUUGUAAUAUUCUCCCCGCCCUUGAGAAUGUACUUUGUGAGAUCCACCCCCUGCCUAUAAAAAAUUGCUCCUAACUCCACCGCCUAUCCCAAACCUAUAAGAACUAAUGAUAAUCCCAGCACCCUUUGCUGACUCCUUUCUUGGACACAGCCUGCUUGCACCCAGGUGAAAUAAACAGCCUUGUUGCUCACACAAAGC